UUAAAAAGCUCGUAGUUGGAUUUCGGAUGGGAUUUGCCGGUCCGCCGUUUCGGUGUGCACUGGCCAGUCCCAUCUUGUUGUCGGGGACUAGCUCCUGGGCUUCACUGUCCGGGACUAGGAGCUGACGAGGUUACUUUGAGUAAAUUAGAGUGUUCAAAGCAAGCCUACGCUCUGAAUACAUUAGCAUGGAAUAACAUGAUAGGACUCUGGCUUAUCUUGUUGGUCUGUGAGACCAGAGUAAUGAUUAAGAGGGACAGUCGGGGGCAUUCGUAUUUCAUUGUCAGAGGUGAAAUUCUUGGAUUUAUGAAAGACGAACUUCUGCGAAAGCAUUUGCCAAGGAUGUUUUCAUUAAUCAAGAACGAAAGUUGGGGGCUCGAAGACGAUCAGAUACCGUCCUAGUCUCAACCAUAAACGAUGCCGACUAGGGAUUGGCGGACGUU
rnacentral:rRNA from 1 species